rnacentral:lncRNA from 1 species
CGCUCGGGGUUCGACCCCCGAGCACGGCGGGAGGAGGGCGCCCCCCUGCGGCACAGCCACGUCCACGAAGCCCCUCCCGGGGUUCUAGAAAGCGGAGGCCUCCGAAGGAAAGACCAAGAUGCAGAGAGAUGUCUAAAAGGUGCCAGAAGGUGACUAUCCAGCCCUGGUAUCACUGCCUGGUGAUUUCGUUUCUUUGAUCUUCACGAAUGGCCUCACUGGCUGUGAUUUGGACAGAAAUCAGCUGCCACGUGCAACAUUCUCCCAUGGGAACAUGUGUCCGCAGUACCUAUCUCAGAGCCCAAAUCCUUCCUGCCCCACAGCCUUCUCCUGGAACCUGC